rnacentral:rRNA from 1 species
UACAGAGACUGCAAGCGUUGUUCGGAUUCAUUGGGCGUAAAGGGUGCGUAGGCGGUCAGGCAAGUCGGAUGUGAAAUCCCAAAGCUUAACUUUGGAAGUGCAUCCGAAACUACCUGGCUAGAGGACUGGAGGGGAGACUGGAAUUCUCGGUGUAGCGGUGAAAUGCGUAGAUAUCGAGAGGAACACCAGUGGCGAAGGCGAGUCCCUGGACAACUCCUGACACUGAGGCACGAAAGCUAGGGGAGCAAACGGG